UACAGAGGGUGCAAGCGUUAAUCGGAAUUACUGGGCGUAAGCGUGCGUAGACGGUCAUGUAAGUCGGGUGUGAAAGCCCCGGGCUCAACCUGGGAAUUGCAUUCGAGACUGCAUGGCUAGGGUGCGGAAGAGGGAAGCGGAAUUUCCGGUGUAGCGGUGAAAUGCGUAGAUAUUCGCAAGAACACCAGUGGCGAAGGCGGCUCACUGGCCCGGUACUGACGCUGACGGUGGCGAAAGCGUGGGGAGCAAACACGG
rnacentral:rRNA from 1 species